UACGAAGGGGGCUAGCGUUGUUCGGAAUUACUGGGCGUAAAGCGCGCGCAGGCGGCUCUUCAAGUCUGGCGUGAAAGCCCCCGGCUCAACCGGGGAGGGUCGUCGGAGACUGGCGAGCUUGAGGGCGGUAGGGGCUGGUGGAAUUCCCGGUGUAGUGGUGAAAUGCGUAGAGAUCGGGAGGAACACCCGUGGCGAAGGCGGCCAGCUGGGCCGUCCCUGACGCUGAGGCGCGAAGGCGUGGGGAGCGAACGGG
rnacentral:rRNA from 1 species